rnacentral:rRNA from 1 species
GUGAUUAAUAUAAAGUAAACCCUGCUCAAUGUAAUAUUAAAUAAAUAGCCGCAACAAUUUUUAUGCGCUAAGGUAGCAUAAUCAUUAGCUUUUUAAUUAAAAGAUAGAAUGAAAGGGAAAACGAAAUACAUAUUUUUUAAGAAUUUUUUAAUUAAAUUAAAACAAAAAGUAAAAAUUCUUUUAUUUCAAAAAUAGACGACAAGACCCUAGAACUUAAUAUUUAGCUGGGGAGGCAUAAUAAAUAAACCUUAAAUACAAAACAGAUCACUAAUCUUACUAAAAAAUUUAGAAAAAGUUACUAUAGGGAUAACAGCGCAAUUUUAUUUAAAAGUUCUUAUAAAAAAUAAAUAUUACGACCUCGAUGUUGAAUUAAUAAUUCUAGUUUAUAACGCAAAAGUUAAUAAAGAAGGUCUGUUCGACCAUUAAAA